rnacentral:lncRNA from 1 species
ACUUAAUUACAAGGCCGUCCCCGUACCCCGUCCGGUAUGAGCGCCAAAACAAUAAACCUCAAUACCCCGUCCGGUAUGAGGGUGAAGUGGGUCGUCCCUAUACCCCGUCCGGUAUGGGCGCCAAAUGACCAAGUCUUCAUACCUCAUCUGGUAUGAGACAACGUUCACGAUAGGGUUCCCUAUGAACCCGGUCCGUCCACCAUCUCCCAGGAUAUCUAGUGAGGCUGUCAU